rnacentral:rRNA from 1 species
GAGUUUGAUCCUGGCUCAGGAUGAACGCUGGCGGCGUGCUUAACACAUGCAAGUCGAACGAAGCAGCAUGGAACGAAUCUUCGGAGGAGGGAAAUGGUGACUGAGUGGCGGACGGGUGAGUAACGCGUGGGUAACCUGCCUCGUACAGGGGGACAACAGUUGGAAACGACUGCUAAUACCGCAUAAGCGCACGAUACUGCAUGGUAUUGUGUGAAAAACUGAGGUGGUACGAGAUGGACCCGCGUCUGAUUAGCUGGUUGGUGGGGUAACGGCCUACCAAGGCGACGAUCAGUAGCCGACCUGAGAGGGUGACCGGCCACAUUGGGACUGAGACACGGCCCAAACUCCUACGGGAGGCAGCAGUGGGGAAUAUUGCACAAUGGGGGAAACCCUGAUGCAGCGACGCCGCGUGAAGGAAGAAGUAUUUCGGUAUGUAAACUUCUAUCAGCAGGGAAGAAAAUGACGGUACCUGAGUAAGAAGCCCCGGCUAACUACGUGCCAGCAGCCGCGGUAAUACGUAGGGGGCAAGCGUUAUCCGGAUUUACUGGGUGUAAAGGGAGCGUAGACGGUAAUGUAAGUCUGAUGUGAAAGCCCGGGGCUCAACCCCGGGACUGCAUUGGAAACUAUGUAACUAGAGUACCGGAGAGGUAAGCGGAAUUCCUAGUGUAGCGGUG